rnacentral:lncRNA from 1 species
UCUGUUAUAGUUUUAUAUGUGGAAUUUCAUCAUGUAAGAAGAAUGACAAAUAACUUCAGCAGAUAACUUUGCCUUUUACUUCAUCAAGAAAUCAAGGGUGCAUGUGACAGCCAGGAGAAUGUGCCUCACAGACCUUCAACUUUGUGGAGCUUAAUUGACCAAAGGCCCCAACUUCUACACUCUGAAAUCCAUCACCACAGCUGUGCCAACACCAGGCUUCCCACAGGCUGCUCCUGUGUAGCCAAUGACUGAGCAUGGCAGGCCUGUUCCUGGAAGGUACAGAACCCUCCAACACUCUUGCUAAACCUUCCUUACCCUGCAUAGCACUCUGAGAUGCUUCUACCCAACCAUCUCUCCCUCCUCCCUUCACUGGGGUCAGACCUGCAUUGCUGUCCGAUGGCUCCUCCAGUCUUCCCUGGUUCCCUCCCAUUUCCUCUCAGACGUGUAUCCUCCCCUAAAAAAUAUUAUUGCAUUUUCACCCCAUCUUGGUGUCUGCUUUCCAGAGGAUCUGCACUGAACACAGUACAGCUAGAGAGUUUGUUUAUAGAAACACACAUCUUCUCAAAUCAACUGAAUCAGAAUUUCUGGGGAAGGAACUUUUCAAGCAAUUUUUAAUUAAAUAUGAGUUUAAUGCUUAGCCAGGAUUGGGAAACCCUGGUCCCUAUUUACCCUUUGCCGCAUUCUCAAGUUAUAUUCUGUCUUCAACUUACUGAAAUUUGGUCUCUGCUACAAUUACUCUAAAGUCAUCCCUACAUAGAUAUCCCACAAGUACCUCUUAACUCAUAAGACUCAAAACUGAACCCAUCCUCUUUCUCCCUUUUGGUUGAUGAUACUCCCGUAGAUUCUAUCUCGGUGGCAUCUCUAUCAUCCGUUUACCCAAGCUCAAAACUCAGGAGUUGCUCCACUUCUGCUCGUUCACCUCCUGUGUCCAAUGAAUCAUUAAACAGAGCUCCCAGAAGCAAAGAUGCUGUCUUAUUUGUUUUAUACUCCUAUAUUUGACAUAGUAUUUGAAGCCCUUCAUUGUAUAUUUGAUAAUGAAAGAAU